ensembl:snRNA Gm23579 predicted gene, 23579
UCCCUUUGGCAGCACAUAUACUAAAAUUGGAAUGAUACAGAGAAGAUUAACAUGGCCCCUGCACAAGGAUAACACACAAAUUCGUGAAGCAUUCCAUAUUUUU